rnacentral:rRNA from 1 species
AACGAACGCUGGCGGCAUGCCUAACACAUGCAAGUCGAACGCUGCCUUCUGGUCUUUUUGCGCACGGGUUCGUAACCCGUGGGAACCUUCCCUUAGGGUCGGACUAACUCCCCGAAAGGGAUGCUAAUACCAGAUAAUGUCUUCUGCCCAAUGAUUUAUCUCCUUGGGAUGGGCCCGCGUUGGAUUAGCUAGUUGGUAGGGUAAAAGACUACCAAGGCGAAGAUCCAUAGCUGGUCUGAGAGGAUGAUCAGACACACUGGGACUGAGACAAGUACCAGACUCUUACGGGAGGAAGCAGGGGGGACUAUUGGACAAUGGGCGAAAGAAUGAUCCAGCAAGGCCGCGUGAGUGAGGAAGGAGUUAGGGUUGUAAAGGUCUUUGACAAGGGAAGAUAAUGACAGUAACGGGAGAAUAAGAGCCGGCUAACUACGUG